rnacentral:lncRNA from 1 species
AUUAAAUCAAGUGGAAGUUGUGAUGCCAUGGAAAUGGACUUGAACCAAUGGCUACCAAACACCACAACAAUCAUUUCAACCUUUCCUCGACGCAUCAUUCACACCAAUGUCUCCUUUCAACCGUUCUUGUCGCCCUCCAAUAACUCAAACACAAUUUAACUACUCUGGCAUGAGUCACGAACUCAGUUAUGGCGGUAGCGCUUCAUUGCAGGUGGUGGUGAUGUUCCUAGGCCCUCAAUUUCUUAAACACUUUGGGUGAAUCAUCAACGUGGGUUAGUGACACGCGUUCGGGUAGAUAAGGGAUGUGGUGUCGGAGGUCGGUUAGGUCAUCCCGAUCAACGACAUUAGUCUUUAUGGUAUGCGUAUGUAAACAC